AACCCAUGGUGAGGGCAUCUUCGCAACAGAUCCUUGUAUGUCUCUCAUGCAUCGUAGACUGUUUCUAAAUCCAUCUGCAUAAAAGAGGAGAUAUCAUUACAUAAUUU
rfam:Gossypium hirsutum cultivar TM-1 chromosome 11, whole genome shotgun sequence